GAGUUUGAUCCUGGCUCAGAUUGAACGCUGGCGGCAUGCCUUACACAUGCAAGUCGAACGGCAGCAUGAUCUAGCUUGCUAGAUUGAUGGCGAGUGGCGAACGGGUGAGUAAUACAUCGGAACGUGCCCUGUAGUGGGGAUAACUAGUCGAAAGAUUAGCUAAUACCGCAUACGACCUGAGGGUGAAAGUGGGGGACCGCAAGGCCUCAUGCUAUAGGAGCGGCCGAUGUCUGAUUAGCUAGUUGGUGGGGUAAAGGCCCACCAAGGCGACGAUCAGUAGCUGGUCUGAGAGGACGAUCAGCCACACUGGGACUGAGACACGGCCCAGACUCCUACGGGAGGCAGCAGUGGGGAAUUUUGGACAAUGGGCGAAAGCCUGAUCCAGCAAUGCCGCGUGUGUGAAGAAGGCCUCGGUGUAAG
rnacentral:rRNA from 1 species